CAAGCCUCCUCUCUCUCCGGUCCCCCUCUCCACUCGCAGCGGUCACCGGAGGGCGAAGAUUGCUGGGCUGGCGGCGGACCCGACGGACGGAGGCUGGGCAGGUGGAGGUGGCGGCGGACCUCGAGCUCCCCCCACCCAUGGCGGUGCCAAGAGUUCAAGCCCGGCGAGUCCCUCCGAAUGCAUUUAAUGGAUAGGGAACAUAGAAAGGUGUAUGAAACUCUGAAUGAAGCAAGUGAAGGAUCCGUGUUCAAGGCACAGAAUAUAACAAGUAACCAAGAAACUUCGUGGCUGCUAGCAACUAGUCUGACGCUGUGGCGUAUAAUGCUUCCAGAUUAUUCAGUGAAGCUACAUCAGAGUAUCGGCAGGAUACAGGAUUGGACAAACAGCUGACCAAGGUUUGCUGGACAACACCAAGUUCUAAAAAUGGUGAACCUCAAAAUGUCACAUGCUCGCUCAGAGUUUGCGCGGAUAUAAAAAAACCACAUCACUCUUCAACUUGAAUUUAAACAAAUGGAAGCCUAAAUUCCAGAUUCAUGGGCUCCACAAGACAACAUGAUGGCACUGGGAAAACACGCAAUAUGAGAAUUUACUUUUCUUGUCUCCUCUUGAUAAGUCGUAACUACCAACUCCAGGUAUUGUUUUUGUCUGGUUUCAUGUAGCAUGCGGCAUCCAUCAUUCCACGUGCUUUACCAGGUGUGGGUUCAGAUUUUAUAUUUCUGAAAUCCAUCCAUGCACGCAACGUGAGAAGAAAGCAGCCACGGAGCUCUCGUCACCUUGUCUGUCUUCCUCCUGUCCUGUUAUUUGGGUCCAUAAACAAAUGCAGAAUCAGGUAUGUCCACCACUGGACAGAAGCAUAAUGCUCUGAGAAAUAUAGGCCAACGCUAAUCACUGUUUUUCUGUUCAUAUAUUUAUGUCGUUUUCUGGUGUCCCUUGACUCCUGGACUUAUAUCAUCUAGUAUGUUAUUGGUUAAUUUGUCUAACUAGGUUGUUAUUUGUCUGGAGUAUUCUAGACCUCUCUAAUUUUUUUGCAGAUUAAACAGAAAUUGUGCCUAGUAACUUUAGGACUGGUCUGAUCCUAUCAAAUGGUUAAUAUUGCAGUCGAAUUUGAAAGCUUCGUUUAAAUGAGUCUCGGUUGCUAAUUCUAAUUUGGUCUUGGUGUUUACUUGCAGAGUUAGAUCAUUAUAUUCUCUGUUUUUAAGUUCCAUGGUCUUUUAAAUAGUGAAUCCCACUGUCCCAGUCAAAGUUGGUUGAGUCUGCCGUCCUCGAUGAUCUCAUUAGUCAUUACAUCUAACAGUCCUAUGUUCUUUAACUAAGGCACUCCUUGGUUAGGCUUCUUCAUCCCGUGUCAUGUACUCAUGUCAAGCCGUAUGCACUAUGCACAUAUACACAUAUAUCCUUUUAGUUAAGGAGUGACUAUGGUGUUAUUUUGUUUAUUCACUUUAUGAACACUUGCAAAAAGGUUAGCCAUUUUUGUAUUGCUCUGUUUGCACCAUCCCCACCCCAUCUUUUACUGUGGUAAAUUAGAGAACCACAUUGUUAUGUUUUCCUUGUCAGAAAUAUCAAUGUGAAUCAGCAUGUAGAAUAGUCAAAGAUGCAAAGGCCAUCGUGUUUAUCAUCUCAAUGCACAUUAGAAGGGAAGUUUUACUCUUCUUAAAAGCUUGUAGCAUAGAAGAUAAAUACUCUACAUGUAUAUGUCAUGAGUUAGCACUCCCAAGUCCCAACGGGUUAAAACUCUCACCAACUAACUUUUUCUUGUAGGUUCCAGCAGGUUGUAAACUUGUGAUACAUAAUUGGCCCAGAUCUUUGCUGAUGUCUUGUAGUUGGCCAUUUUUUGUAUAGCUGUGUUUGCACCCUAUCCCCAUCUAUUGUUGGGGUAAAUUAGAGGACCACAUUAUUAUUUUUUCCUUAUUAUUCUGAGAUAUCAAUGUGAAUCAGCAUGUAGAAUAGUCAAAGCCACAAAGGCAAUUGUGUUUUAUCAUCUCAAUGCACAUUGGAAGGGAAGUUUUACUCUUCUUAAAAGCAUGUAGUAUAGUAGAUAAAUAUUCUACAUGUAUAUGUCAUGAGUUAGCACUCCAGCGGGUUGAAACUCUCACCAACUACACUUUUCAUGUAGGUUCCAUUUGCAAUACAUGAUCUGCCAAGAUCUUUGAUGUCUUCUACCUGACGAAUAGAAAAAUCAAGGACCUUCCACCCUGAGGAACAGGUGACCUACUGAUGAGUUUGUGUACCAGUGCCAGGAUCUUAUCUACUUGCAAAUUUCCGUGCAUGGCUGCAAAUGAUUGUACAGGAACAAAUAAUUGGUUUAGAUGAUUGAACACAGGAUAUAUAGUACGAGCAGAGUGCUUAUAUUUUAACACCAUUAUGAUUGGUAUCAUUUGACUAAAUUGUUCUGGGUACGUCUUCCACUGUAUCAUUAGACGGUCAAACACCCACGCAUUCACAUGUGGUUCAUUACAAGUGCAUGAAUGUGUUGUAAUUCAGCCAUAGCCUAUGGUCAGAAGCCUAGAACUUGCAAGUAUAGGUUGUGGAAGAGAAUACAUGUACCUGAUAUUCAAGUUCAACGCAAGAUGAUGGCAUCAAUGACACCAGCCUUUGACAUGUGUGCAGGAAAACAAAAGUUGGUGCAGGCGAGUGGGCACCAGUAGCACCUGGAGCCUGGAGCAAUCCAAUUAGUUUAGUUAUCUGCUUCCAAUGAGAAACAUUGUCGUCCUUCAUCGAUGACGGAUUUUGCCGCUCUGGACACUCCAGAUGCAGCAGCCCCCAUCAACUAACCGCCUUUGUUAAAUCUUGUAGUGUUUGUGAACUGUUGUAGUGUCGUCGCUCCUAUGUAUUUGGGUAUGCAAUACUAUGAUCAUUGUUCUUUA